GAUGAAGAACGUAGCGAAAUGCGAUAAGUAAUGUGAAUUGCAGAAUUCCGUGAAUCAUCGAAUCUUUGAACGCACAUUGCGCCCUCUGGUAUUCCGGGGGGCAUGCCUGUUCGAGCGUCAUUAUCACCCCUCAAGCCCCGGCUUGGUGUUGGGCUCUCGGUGGUCGUCUCCGACCACCCGUCUCAAAGAUAGUGACGGCGUCCCAGAGGGAACCGGUACGAGGAGCUUUCACGAGCAUGUACGCGGGACGACUCUGCGGGCGACGGUCUUAUUUACUUUAUAUACAAGUGUUGACCUCGGAUCAGGUAGGAAUACCCGCUGAACUUAAGCAUAUCAAUAAGCGGAGGA
rnacentral:misc_RNA from 1 species